CCGGUGGUUCAGAUCGUUGACCGCUUGCUUCAUACACAAGAGGUCUCGGGUUCGAAUCUCAUUAGGGCGCGUGCAACAAAAAUUUUAUUUCCAAAUUUCAAUUUGAUUUCUCAUACUUUGCACUCUUCAAUUUCAAAAAUUAAACACAUUUUCAAAAACUAUAA